GGGCAUCCAUACAUCAGUACACAACCACUCUUGACACAUUACACGAGUAUUUUUCUUGACACUUCACCCGAAGUGAAAAGGAGUAUGUGUGAAGAAAGGGCUCUGUCGAGCACUCAAACGUAAUCCAUCACUUAAACAUGCAACACUGUAUCUCCCGCUUUGAUAAAAAAACUCUAUGUUCUGAAAGAACGCAAAGUUUUUUUUUUUAUCAAAGCGGGACACUAAAGACAAGAAGGACACUAAAGAGCAAAA
rnacentral:lncRNA from 1 species